GACGAACGCUGGCGGCGUGCCUAAUACAUGCAAGUCGAACGCAGUGGGGACGGGUGAGUAACACGUGGGUAACCUCCCAUCAGAGGGGAUAACACUUGGAAACAGGUGCUAAACCGAUACUGAUGGAUGGACCCGCGGUGCAUUAGCUAUGUGGUGGGGUAACGGCUCACCAAGGCCAGGAUGCAUAGGCGACCGGAGAGGGUGGUCGGCCACACUGGAACUGAGACACGGCCCAGACUCCUCCGGUAGGCAGAAGUAGGGAAUCGUCGGAAAUGGACGAAAGGCUGACCGAACAACGCCGCGUGAGUGAAGAAGGUUUGCGGAUCGUAAAACUCUGUUGUUAGAGAAGCGGUAUCUAACCAGAAAGCCACGGCUAACUACGUGCCAGCAGCCGCGGUAAUUC
rnacentral:rRNA from 1 species